GAUGAACGCUGGCGGCGUGCUUAACACAUGCAAGUCGAACGAUGAAGCCCAGCUUGCUGGGUGGAUUAGUGGCGAACGGGUGAGUAACACGUGAGUAACCUGCCCUUAACUCUGGGAUAAGCCUGGGAAACUGGGUCUAAUACCGGAUAGGAGCGUCCACCGCAUGGUGGGUGUUGGAAAGAUUUAUCGGUUUUGGAUGGACUCGCGGCCUAUCAGCUUGUUGGUGAGGUAAUGGCUCACCAAGGCGACGACGGGUAGCCGGCUUGAGAGGGUGACCGGCCACACUGGGACUGAGACACGGCCCAGACUCCUACGGGAGGCAGCAGUGGGGAAUAUUGCACAAUGGGCGCAAGCCUGAUGCAGCGACGCCGCGUGAGGGAUGACGGCCUUCGGGUUGUAAACCUCUUUCAGUAGGGAAGAAGCGAAAGUGACGGUACCUGCAGAAGAAGCACCGGCUAACUACGUGCCAGCCGCCGCGGUAAUAC
rnacentral:rRNA from 1 species